UACGUAGGGUGCAAGCGUUGUCCGGAAUUAUUGGGCGUAAAGAGCUCGUAGGCGGUUCGUCGCGUCGGCUGUGAAAACCUGAGGCUCAACCUCAGGCCUGCAGUCGAUACGGGCGGACUUGAGUACUGCAGGGGAGACUGGAAUUCCUGGUGUAGCAGUGAAAUGCGUAGAUAUCAGGAGGAACACCGAUGGCGAAGGCAGGUCUCUGGGCUGACACUGACGCUCAUGCACGAAAGCGUGGGGAGCAAACAGG
rnacentral:rRNA from 1 species